rnacentral:misc_RNA from 1 species
UCCGGGUUGGUCCCGGCUGUCGGUCUAGAUACCCAACUAGACCCGGGGGUUGCGCUCGUUGCGGGACUUAACCCAACACCUCACGGCACGAGCUGACGACAGCCAUACAGCACCUGUGCAGUUCGCCUUGCGGCCAUACGGUUUCCCGUACUGAACACUGCAUGUCAAGCCCUGGUAAGGUUCUUCGCGUCGCAUCGAAUUGAACCACACGCUCCGCUGCUUGUGCGGGCCCCCGUCAAUUCCUUUGAGUUUUAGCCUUGCGGCCGUACUCCCCAGGCGGGGCACUUAAUGCGUUAGCUUCGGCACGGAGGGAGUCGACACCCCCCACACCUAGUGCCCAUCGUUUACGGCGUGGACUAC